UUGACACCAGGCCAAGACAUCCAUUUUUGAAGGCAGGUUUUUCUCAUAGUCCAUUUCCUGCUGUUUAAUAACAAGUGUUUAACCUGUUCUGAGCAGAUUAUUUCGUCACAGUGGAACCAUUCAGGAGCCAGGCCUGUAAAUGGAGUAUCUACAGGUUCCCAUGGAGAGUGCGACCAUUGUGUUGAGUCAGCAGAUCCGGCCAGUGAAGGAGAACUCGCGGGGUGUAUAUUGCCAUGUGUAACAGGGUUGGUGUAAAUCUCCAAGGUGCAGACCGUGGCCCAAGAGACCUUCACUGAAUGAAGCACCUCGUCUGACUUCUGAGAGAAGAGUUAUUCUCGGUCGAAAGGCGGGCAGAAUAGAAGCAGGUGUGUGCCAGACUGUCUCUGCAGGAUCCAAGAUGGCCUCAUUGAUGGCACUGACAAUUUUGGAGAUAGAUGCAGGUUGCAGUAUUUGUACCAGCUUGUGCUAGUUUCUUUACCUCCUCCAGCGGGAUGUCGUGGCUUUGCAUGACCCUUGAACAGCUCUUGAAACUAUUUAAAGUCAUCUGCCGAGGCUGGCAGUGGGAGCAUAA